rnacentral:rRNA from 1 species
CACGUAGGGCGCAAGCGUUGUCCGGAAUUACUGGGCGUAAAGCGUGCGUAGGUGGUUUGUUAAGUCUGAUGUGAAAGCCCUGGGCUCAACCUGGGAACUGCAUUGGAAACUGGCUUACUAGAGUGCGGUAGAGGGGUGUGGAAUUCCCGGUGUAGCAGUGAAAUGCGUAGAUAUCCGGAGGAACACCGGUGGCGAAGGCGGCUUCCUGGACCGAUCACUGACGCUGAGGCGCGAAAGCUAGGGGAGCAAACGGG